rnacentral:lncRNA from 1 species
GAAGCCAAUUUUGAAAAUUACAAUUUUGCGAAGCCCUAUAUUGAAAGUGGCAAAUAGUCGAUUUUCUCUCGUCUGAUAGCUUAUUACGUUGGACCCAGUCAUAUCAAGAAACGGUCGGCAUCCAGAUUGAGCAAGGGAAUUUAUGCAUGUAUGAUCUCCUCAGGACCACUUCGGAGUUAGAAGAGACAGAGAAAAAUACACCAGAAAUAAUGAACAAAUACGCACCUCAAUUGUUGAAUACUCCGGCAUCGAGCUGCGCUGCUGAAUAAUUUGGUCUGGAACACAUGGAUAAGCAAGAGUAAGCCAGUAUAGAAUACUACCUGGUAUGGUACCAGGAGGCAGUGAUAUCGAAUCUGUGAACGGCGAUGGUAGGCGGAGAGGGUGUGUUGACUGCUGACUGGUGCACGACCACCGCACGCCGUAGGUUCACACUUCACGCCGGCGUUCAGAGGCCACCUUGACUAACCAUCAUCGCAGAAAACCGGAACGUACCACCAUCAUCAUCCACUUGACUCCAGCCAAGUCACCUCCGACCUCCCUGGCGCUUCGGGCCUCGCCAUCUUUCGACAUU